rnacentral:rRNA from 1 species
AGUCGACGAUGAAUCUUCUAGCUUGCUAGAAGUGGAUUAGUGGCGCACGGGUGAGUAAUGCAUAGGUUAUGUGCCCUUUAGUCUGGGAUAGCCACUGGAAACGGUGAUUAAUACUGGAUACUCCCUACGGGGGAAAGUUUUUCGCUAAAGGAUCAGCCUAUGUCCUAUCAGCUUGUUGGUGAGGUAAUGGCUCACCAAGGCUACGACGGGUAUCCGGCCUGAGAGGGUGAUCGGACACACUGGAACUGAGACACGGUCCAGACUCCUACGGGAGGCAGCAGUAGGGAAUAUUGCUCAAUGGGGGAAACCCUGAAGCAGCAACGCCGCGUGGAGGAUGAAGGUUUUAGGAUUGUAAACUCCUUUUGUUAGAGAAGAUUAUGACGGUAUCUAACGAAUAAGCACCGGCUAACUCCGUGCCAGCAGCCGCGGUAAUACGGAGGGUGCAAGCGUUACUCGGAAUCACUGGGCGUAAAGAGUGCGUAGGCGGGGUAAUAAGUCAGAUGUGAAAUCCUGUAGCUUAACUACAGAACUGCAUUUGAAACUGUUACUCUGGAGUGUGGGAGAGGUAGGUGGAAUUCUUGGUGUAGGGGUAAAAUCCGUAGAGAUCAAGAGGAAUACUCAUUGCGAAGGCGACCUGCUGGAACAUUACUGACGCUGAUGCACGAAAGCGUGGGGAGCAAACAGGAUUAGAUACCCUGGUAGUCCACGCCCUAAACGAUGGAUGCUAGUUGUUGCCUUGCUUGUCAGGGCAGUAAUGCAGCUAACGCAUUAAGCAUCCCGCCUGGGGAGUACGGUCGCAAGAUUAAAACUCAAAGGAAUAGACGGGGACCCGCACAAGCGGUGGAGCAUGUGGUUUAAUUCGAAGAUACGCGAAGAACCUUACCUAGGCUUGACAU